UGGGGAAUAUUGGGCAAUGGGCGAAAGCCUGACCCAGCGACGCCGCGUGAGGGAAGAAGGUCUUCGGAUUGUAAACCUUAGUUAGCAGGGAAGAAGAAAGUGACGGUACCUGCAGAGAAAGCCACGGCUAACUACGUGCCAGCAGCCGCGGUAAUACGUAGGUGGCGAGCGUUAUCCGGAAUUACUGGGUGUAAAGGGAGCGUAGGCGGUUAAUUAAGUUAGAUGUGGAAUACCCGGGCUUAACUUGGGGGGUGCAUCUAAUACUGGUAAACUAGAGUACAGGAGAGGAAAGCGGAAUUCCUAGUGUAGCGGUGAAAUGCAUAGAUAUUAGGAGGAACAUCGGUGGCGAAGGCGGCUUUCUGGACUGACACUGACGCUGAGGCUCGAAAGCGUGGGGAGCAAACAGGAUUAGAUACCCUGGUAGU
rnacentral:rRNA from 1 species